rnacentral:rRNA from 1 species
AUACGUAGGGGGCGAGCGUUGUCCGGAAUGAUUGGGCGUAAAGGGCGCGUAGGCGGCCCGGUAAGUCUGGAGUGAAAGUCCUGUUUUUAAGAUGGGAAUUGCUUUGGAUACUGUCGGGCUUGAGUGUAGGAGAGGUAAGUGGAAUUCCCCGUGUAGCGGUGAAAUGCGUAGAGAUUGGGAGGAACACCAGUGGCGAAGGCGACUUACUGGACUGUAACUGACGCUGAGGCGCGAAAGUGUGGGGAGCAAACAGGAUUAGAUACCCUGGUAGUCCACACUGUAAACGAUGAAUGCUAGGUGUAGGGGGUAUCGACCCCUUCUGUGCCGCAGUCAACACAAUAAGCAUUCCGCCUGGGGAGUACGGCCGCAAGGUUGAAACUCAAAUGAAUUGGCGGGG